ACAGCGAGGCGGACGCGGGCAGGGUGGGAGAAAGCGAAGAACCGCUUCCGCAAAGUUUUUCCCUCCCAACCGGGGAGGGGAGAGAGAGAGAGAAAGAGAAAGGGUGAGACGUCCCCGAGGAUAUGUCACGGGUCGCGCGCUAGCCUUGCGGAAAGGAGAGGGGGCUGGCAGAUGUCCCAAGCGAGCGAAUCUCUUCCUUCGGGGCCUGAUGGGCCAGAGCGCGCUACUUCGGCGGAAAGCAGCUGGUUGACUUCGCUCCCUCGCGAAAACAAGAAUGAAGACAAAACAGCCGUAGGAGAGAGAAGGAUACCAGAACAUUCAUAUAAUCAAAACAUACAA